GACGAACGCUGGCGGCGUGCUUAACACAUGCAAGUCGAACGGUAAGGCUCCAGCUUGCUGGGGUACACGAGUGGCGAACGGGUGAGUAACACGUGGGUGACCUGCCCUGCACUUCGGGAUAAGCCUGGGAAACUGGGUCUAAUACCGGAUAGGACCGCACCGUGAGGGUGUGGUGGAAAGUUUUUUCGGUGUGGGAUGGGCCCGCGGCCUAUCAGCUUGUUGGUGGGGUAAUGGCCUACCAAGGCGGCGGCGGGUAGCCGGCCUGAGAGGGUGGACGGCCACAUUGGGACUGAGACACGGCCCAGACUCCUACGGGAGGCAGCAGUGGGGAAUAUUGCACAAUGGGCGGAAGCCUGAUGCAGCGACGCCGCGUGGGGGAUGACGGCCUUCGGGUUGUAAACUCCUUUCACCAUCGACGAAGGGUUUCUGACGGUAGAUGGAGAAGAAGCACCGGCUAACUACGUGCCAGCAGCCGCGGUAAUACGUAGGGUGCGAGCGUUGUCCGGAAUUACUGGGCGUAAAGAGCUCGUAGGUGGUUUGUCGCGUCGUCUGUGAAAUUCCGGGGCUUAACUCCGGGCGUGCAGGCGAUACGGGCAUAACUUGAGUACUGUAGGGGAGACUGGAAUUCCUGGUGUAGCGGUGAAAUGCGCAGAUAUCAGGAGGAACACCGGUGGCGAAGGCGGGUCUCUGGGCAGUAACUGACGCUGAGGAGCGAAAGCAUGGGGAGCGAACAGGAUUAGAUACCCUGGUAGUCCAUGCCGUAAACGGUGGGCGCUAGGUGCGGGUUUCCUUCCACGGGAUCCGUGCCGUAGCUAACGCAUUAAGCGCCCCGCCUGGGGAGUACGGCCGCAAGGCUAAAACUCAAAGGAAUUGACGGGGGCCCGCACAAGCGGCGGAGCAUGUGGAUUAAUUCGAUGCAACGCGAAGAACCUUACCUGGGCUUGACAUAUACAGGAUCGCGCCAGAGAUGGUGUUUCCCUUGUGGCUUGUAUACAGGUGGUGCAUGGUUGUCGUCAGCUCGUGUCGUGAGAUGUUGGGUUAAGUCCCGCAACGAGCGCAACCCUUGUCUUAUGUUGCCAGCACGUUGUGGUGGGGACUCGUAAGAAACUGCCGGGGUUAACUCGGAGGAAGGUGGGGAUGACGUCAAAUCAUCAUGCCCCUUAUGUCCAGGGCUUCACACAUGCUACAAUGGUCGGUACAGUGGGUUGCCAGUCCGUGAGGGCGAGCUAAUCCCGCAAAGCCGGUCUCAGUUCGGAUCGGGGUCUGCAACUCGACCCCGUGAAGUCGGAGUCGCUAGUAAUCGCAGAUCAGCAACGCUGCGGUGAAUACGUUCCCGGGCCU
rnacentral:rRNA from 1 species